GGUUUAUUUUUUUUCCUUUCGUCUUCGUCGUCUUUGGUUUGUGUGCUCGCUUCCUCGGCGCCGUCGCUUCUAACGUUCGUUCCUUUCGCCUUCAUCCGCUGGGUCUGUGUUGUUGCUGUCCUCUCUGGUUUUCCUGUCGCGCUUUGCGUUACCUUCUUCUGCCUGCCGUUCCGUGUUGCCUCUGCGUGCUCGCCGUACCUAUCGUAGGGCGGUAGCGCGGAUUCGCCAUCGCUGACCUCGGCUUACCACGGUGGGGGCUUUGCCCUUGCCAUGGUGGGCUAUCCGGCGGCCAUAAAUUACCUUGUACCUCGGGUUCUAUUGCUCUGUUUGCUCUGUUUUUGGGGUUGUUGUGCUCAUACAAUGGGUCCUUUUUGUUUGAGGCUGGGUUUCUGUCCGUCCGAGGGAUCCACAUGGCUUCGGGCGUCUGUGCAUCGGUGUCUGUUGUUGCUGCUCAGUUGUUAGAUUCACCUGUUUGCGUUCGUUCGUCAGGUGAUUCCUCUCUCUUUACAUUUCACAGGUUCGGUGUGCUUAUUCCCAAGAUCAUCAGUGCUCUAACUAAGGUAUUGAAUCAAGCGUCCAAUCUACCAAAAUCAUAUUCAGAAAAAAAAUUAAGGAUUCUUUCCCUAAAGCUGUGUUUUCUUCGUUUCAAAUAGAUUCCCUGUAAGCACUCAAGCCCCUCCAGUUUCAUAGACAAAAAAACUCUGAAUACAUAGUCAGUCCUUGUUGUUUGUCCAAAGUAACAACCCAAAUUCAUAUAUAACCUGUGCUAACCAACCCAGUUGUUUCAGUAUAGAUAGUGACAACGGUAUAAAACUAGGUCCCUCGGAUCUACGACACAGCAACCAUUAUGAAUUCAGAGCGACUGAAACAGCAUGGAGCCAUUUUCAACGUCGCCUUGUCUCCUCCAAAUUUCAUUAUCCACUUGACAACACUUGAACUCCAGCUGCAAAUUCUCUCCUGCAAGACAUUCAGUGGACCAGAUUUCCUUCUCGACAUACUACCUUGGUGUCUUGAACAUGGUUCAUUCGAUUUGCCAUGGAUCAUCAAGUCCUCGGAUCAAGACACUCAGAUGACACCAAAAAGACACUACCUACAGAUUUUAGCGACCCAAUCAGAACCAUUACGACAUGUUUCAGCUCUAGCUUCAGGUCACCAUAUAGGCAGCACCCAACAAGAACCUAUCCAAGAUACAACAAAGUUGUCUGAUUUCAGACAUGAGGCAUAUACAUCCUCAGGUGACCAGAACGAAGUUACCUUGCAGCCAUGAGACAGGACGCCACAUCAUCCGGAUACAGAAUCAUCCAUCAGCAUUUCAAGCGACGACGAACAAGGAUGGGAAUCAGACCGAAGCAUGAACAUACCUGAUACUGAUGCUUAGGCAGAAGCAACCAAACUCUCAGACUCAUAGCCCUCUUUCCAUGUGAAAUAUUUAUGUACAACCAUGUCAUGUAAUGUAAGGACCCAACAUCUUAUAAUGCUUUCAUAUGUUCAGCCAUAGUCAAUGUGUACUAAACUUAAGGACUACUAUAAUAUGUGGUCAUUUAUAUAUA